UUCUACAGCCAUGCCACCCUGAACACUCCCGAUCUCAUCUGACUUAGAAGCUAAGCAGGGUUGGCCCUAGUUAGUACUUAGAUGGGAGACCAUCUAGGAAAACCUGGUGCUGUAGGUG
rnacentral:rRNA from 1 species